rnacentral:tRNA from 1 species
GUGUGUUUGCGCAGGCCGUCUGGUUUACACCCAGAAGGUCACAGGUUCGAGCCCUGUAGAGCGCA